GACGAACGCUGGCGGUGUGCUUCACACAUGCAAGUCGAACGAGGUAGCAAUACCUAGUGGCGGACGGGUGAGUAACGCGUGGGAAUCUGCCUUUAGAUGGGGGAUAACGGGUCGAAAGACUCGCUAAUACCGCAUAUGACGAAAGUUGAAAGGAGUAAUCCGUCUAAAGAUGAGCCCGCGUCCGAUUAGCUAGUUGGUAGAGUAAAAGCCUACCAAGGCGACGAUCGGUAGCUGGUCUGAGAGGAUGAUCAGCCACAAUGGGACUGAGACACGGCCCAUACUCCUACGGAGGCAGCAGUGGGAAUUUACGCAAUGGGCGAAGGCCUGACGUAGCGACACCGCGUGAGCGAAGAAGCCCCUUGGGUGUAAAGCUCUGUCAGCUGGAACGAAAAAAAUGACGGUACCAGCAGAGGAAGCAUCGGCUAACUACGUGCCAGCAGCCGCGGUAAU
rnacentral:rRNA from 1 species